ACAUGCCUACAACAUAAUGUUAAUGCACCAGAUCCCAUUAGAACUCUACAGUUAAGCAUGCUCAGGCUAGAGUAUUACUAGGAUGGGUGACCGCCUAGGAAGUCCUAGUGUUUUACAUGCC
rnacentral:rRNA from 1 species